UACGUAGGGUGCGAGCGUUAAUCGGAAUUACUGGGCGUAAAGUGUGCGCAGGCGGCAGAGCAAGUCGAGUGUGAAAGCCCCGGGCUUAACUUGGGAAUUGCGCUCGAAACUACUUUGCUGGAGUGUGGCAGAGGAAGGUGGAAUUCCACGUGUAGCGGUGAAAUGCGUAGAGAUUGGGAAGAACACCGGUGGCGAAGGCGGCUCACUGGCCCGUAACUGACGCUCAUGCACGACAGCGUGGGGAUCAAACAGG
rnacentral:rRNA from 1 species